UGAGCUGAAAUAUGAGUUGUCCAACUCUUGUAAGUGCAUGCUCCAUCACAUCAUCCUGAGUCAGUAAUGAGGAUGCCAUUGUACCCUUCAAGCAGCCCUGGAGAGUUUAUCUCUGCAUGCUGGAGCUAAUAAUAAUAGAAUCUCAAGAGCCUUCAAACAUCCAUAUUAUGCUGAUGUCUUUUAAGGUGAUUCAACUCAGCAUAUGUUGUUUGAAGCCGUGAGACUGAGUGAGAUCAUGGAGGAAGUGAAUGUAAAUAGAAAAGGGAAGAAGUCUGAAGACGGAGCCCUGAGACACUCCAUUGUAAACUGGAAGAUGAGGAAGAGCCAGCAAAGGAGACUGAGAAGGGGCAGCCAGUGAAGAUGGAGCCAGGGCUAGAGUAAGAGCCCCUUCUGGGAUGCUGUGACCCCCAAGUUUGAAGACUGCUGAUAACCCCAAUCUACGAAGACUAGCUAUGGAACUUCCUACACUGAGACAACUCCAGUGGAACUCUGAUAAUUAUCCUAAAAUAAGGAGGCUUCUUCAGUAGCCCUCGAAAUAUGUUCAAAUACAUGAUUACAUUUAUGUCCUUA
rnacentral:lncRNA from 10 species